UGGGGAAUUUUGGACAAUGGGGGAAACCCUGAUCCAGCCAUCCCGCGUGUGCGAUGAAGGCCUUCGGGUUGUAAAGCACUUUUGGCAGGAAAGAAACGUCGCGGGUUAAUACCCCGCGGAACUGACGGUACCUGCAGAAUAAGCACCGGCUAACUACGUGCCAGCAGCCGCGGUAAUACGUAGGGUGCAAGCGUUAAUCGGAAUUACUGGGCGUAAAGCGUGCGCAGGCGGUUCGGAAAGAAAGAUGUGAAAUCCCAGAGCUUAACUUUGGAACUGCAUUUUUAACUACCGGGCUAGAGUGUGUCAGAGGGAGGUGGAAUUCCGCGUGUAGCAGUGAAAUGCGUAGAUAUGCGGAGGAACACCGAUGGCGAAGGCAGCCUCCUGGGAUAACACUGACGCUCAUGCACGAAAGCGUGGGGAGCAAACAGGAUUAGAUACCCUGGUAGUCCACGCCCUAAACGAUGUCAACUAGCUGUUGGGGUCUUCGGACCUUGGUAGCGCAGCUAACGCGUGAAGUUGACCGCCUGGGGAGUACGGUCGCAAGAUUAAAACUUAAAUGAAUUG
rnacentral:rRNA from 1 species